AUCCUGUAGGUGAACCUGCGGAAGGAUCAUUACCGAGUUGAUUCGGGCUCCGGCCCGAUCCUCCCACCCUUUGUGUACCUACCUCUGUUGCUUUGGCGGGCCGCGGUCCUCCGCGGCCGCCCCCCUCCCCGGGGGGGUGGCCAGCGCCCGCCAGAGGACCAUCAAACUCCAGUCAGUAAACGAUGCAGUCUGAAAAACAUUUAAUAAACUAAAACUUUCAACAACGGAUCUCUUGGUUCUGGCAUCGAUGAAGAACGCAGCGAAAUGCGAUAAGUAAUGUGAAUUGCAGAAUUCAGUGAAUCAUCGAAUCUUUGAACGCACAUUGCGCCCUUUGGUAUUCCGAAGGGCAUGCCUGUUCGAGCGUCAUUACAACCCUCAAGCUCUGCUUGGUAUUGGGCACCGUCCUUUGCGGGCGCGCCUCAAAGACCUCGGCGGUGGCGUCUUGCCUCAAGCGUAGUAGAACAUACAUCUCGCUUCGGAGCGCAGGGCGUCGCCCGCCGGACGAACCUUCUGAACUUUUCUCAAGGUUGACCUCGGAUCAGGUAGGGAUACCCGCUGAACUUAAGCAUAUCAAUAAGCGGAGGA
rnacentral:rRNA from 1 species